rnacentral:rRNA from 1 species
UGGGGAAUAUUGCGCAAUGGGGGCAACCCUGACGCAGCAACGCCGCGUGCGGGACGACGGCCUUCGGGUUGUAAACCGCUUUCAGCAGGGAAGAUAGUGACGGUACCUGCACAAGAAGCCCCGGCUAACUACGUGCCAGCAGCCGCGGUAAUACGUAGGGGGCGAGCGUUAUCCGGAUUCAUUGGGCGUAAAGCGCGCGCAGGCGGCUCUUCAAGCGGAACCUCUAACCCCGGGGCUCAACCUCGGGCCGGGUUCCGAACUGGAGGGCUCGAGUGCGGUAGAGGCAGGCGGAAUUCCCGGUGUAGCGGUGGAAUGCGCAGAUAUCAGGAGGAACACCGGUGGCGAAGGCGGGUCUCUGGGCUGUUACUGACGCUGAGGAGCGAAAGCGUGGGGAGCGAACAGG